rnacentral:rRNA from 1 species
UCAGAUUGAACGCUGGCGGCAUGCCUUACACAUGCAAGUCGAACGGCAGCACGGGGGCAACCCUGGUGGCGAGUGGCGAACGGGUGAGUAACAUAUCGGAACGUGCCCUGGAGUGGGGGAUAACUAGUCGAAAGACUAGCUAAUACCGCAUACGAUCUACGGAUGAAAGUGGGGGAUCGCAAGACCUCAUGCUCGUGGAGCGGCCGAUAUCUGAUUAGCUAGUUGGUGGGGUAAAGGCCUACCAAGGCAUCGAUCAGUAGCUGGUCUGAGAGGACGACCAGCCACACUGGGACUGAGACACGGCCCAGACUCCUACGGGAGGCAGCAGUGGGGAAUUUUGGACAAUGGGGGCAACCCUGAUCCAGCAAUGCCGCGUGAGUGAAGAAGGCCUUCGGGUUGUAAAGCUCUUUUGUCAGGGAAGAAACGGCGGGAGCUAAUAUCUCCUGCUAAUGACGGUACCUGAAGAAUAAGCACCGGCUAACUACGUGCCAGCAGCCGCGGUAAUACGUAGGGUGCAAGCGUUAAUCGGAAUUACUGGGCGUAAAGCGUGCGCAGGCGGUUGUGCAAGACCGAUGUGAAAUCCCCGGGCUUAACCUGGGAAUGGCAUUGGUGACUGCACGGCUAGAGUGUGUCAGAGGGGGGUAGAAUUCCACGUGUAGCAGUGAAAUGCGUAGAGAUGUGGAGGAAUACCGAUGGCGAAGGCAGCCCCCUGGGAUAACACUGACGCUCAUGCA